rnacentral:lncRNA from 1 species
CCAAAACCACCUGCAUUCUCUUAAUGAAAACAAGAUUUCAGAAAAUGCUUUGUGAAAAAUCUCCAUUUUGAAGCCUGUGAAAUGGAAACCAUUUAAAAAAUGUUCAUGAUUUCUCUGCCACCACCAUUUUUUCAACCUCCUCUACUGCCAAGUGUUCAUACAUUGUGUGCAAGUGAGGGGAAAAUGUUAAACUCCUUGUCAUUUAUUUUCUGUCUUUUUUUUUUCUUUCUUUCCCUCUUAAGCUUGGUUUUGCUCUUGGCAAUGUGGUUGGGAUGUAUCUGGCGCAGAAUUAUGAUAUUCCUGACCUUGCAAAGAAACUUGAAGAUUUUAAAAGAGAUGUGGAAGCUAAGAAGAAACCUCCCAGUGACAAAUCGUAAGCCACUGAUGUUGACUGGAUCAUCUCCACACAAAUUUCAAGGAUGUAAUUCCCCUUCAAGCGACAAGUUCCAAGUAGAAUUCAGGCUUUGGGGGAUUUCCUCCACUUCCAGUCUCCCAGAACCUGGCUGUCCUUAAGCUGAAGUGCAAUCAUGAAUGUGCAGUGAGACCUAACAUCAGGAGUUUCAGGAAACCUGACUCAGAGCUGUUGUGAUUAGAAAAGAAAGUUUGGAUUUUCUUGCAAUUACCUAAUAUUUAUAAUCCAUUUUUAUAUGGCUCAACUGAAGAUCACUGCAAAUCCUACAAUUAUCCCUACCUGAUGCUUUAUUAUAAUUCUUAAAAUGCCUCAAAAGAAAUUAAAACAAAUGUAUCCGGAAGUCACUUCUGAAGACUUCUUUUAUUCUGAUUUAUAUUACGUCAUUGCCCUUUCUUUAAUCCUCCUGUGUGGGACUGAAUCAUGGAUAAUUUCAGUCCCUGUGCGGGAGAUGGAAUGAGAGCUUUGAGUGUCCAGUGAAUCUACAUGAAUAGUUGUCUGUUUCCACUGUUUGUAUAUUAUCUUGUUUUUGGCAGUGUUUUUCUUUGCACAAAGUGAGCAAAAACAUGAUUGACUCAAAAGGAUGUAAAGGGAUACCAGUUUCAACCUACAUUUUACCUUCACUGGUUUUUCUUUCUCUGCUCUGUUCCAUUGCCUCACCCCAUUUCAUUUUCACUCCUUCCCCUCCCCUUGGUCAUUUUGGAACAUGUACCUUAAGCUGGGGAUGAUGAAUCAGCAGUUGACUCAAAAUCACUUAGUCAUCUUCUAAAGAUGGUUAAAUGUUCAGCUCUUCUGCAUCCUCUCCUUACUGCCCCAAGCAGUGCUUUUCCCCAGAUGAAGCAUUAGCAUACGGAAUGUAGUAUUUGACACACCCUACCAGGCCCUCAACCCCUGCUUUUCUUUUGCAGUUGGACAAUAAUUUUAGUAUGUGUACAAGUUCAUCUUACCACCUCACUGAGCAUGCNCUUUUGCAGUUGGACAAUAAUUUUAGUAUGUGUACAAGUUCAUCUUACCACCUCACUGAGCAUGCUCUGGCACUACUUAGCCUAGCAUGUUCCCCUUUACCUUUCUUGGCUACAAUAUAUUAAAUGGAAGUACAAACCC